AUCCUGGCUCAGGAUUAACGCUGGCGGCAUGCCUAAUACAUGCAAGUCAAACGGGAAGUAGCAAUACUUCUAGUGGCGAACGGGUGAGUAACACGUAGGCAAUCUGUCCUAAAGAUUGGGAUAACAGUUGGAAACGGCUGAUAAUACCGGAUAACAGAUUAAGUCGCAUGACUUGAUUUUGAAAGAUGCAACUGCAUCACUUUUGGAGGAGCCUGCGGCGCAUUAGAUAGUUGGUGAGGUAACGGCCCACCAAGUCGAUGAUGCGUAGCUGCGCUGAGAGGCGAAACAGCCACAUUGGGACUGAGAACGGCCCAAACUCCUACGGGAGGCAGCAGUAGGGAAUUUUCGGCAAUGGGGGAAACCCUGACCGAGCAAUGCCGCGUGAAUGAUGAACGAUCUUCGGAUUGUAAAGUUCUGUUGUAGAGGACGAAUGGUAGGUAGAGUGGAAAGCUAUCUAUUUGACGGUACUUUACUAGAAAGCCCCGGCUAACUAUGUGCCAGCCGCUGC
rnacentral:rRNA from 1 species